AUCCAACACAAACACCUGCGGCUUCAUCAAAGCAAGCCAAGGCUUCCCCCAACUCUGUUGACACUAAUUCCGUCACCCAGAGGCUUCAGAAGGAAUUGAUGUCUCUCACGAUGAGUGGGGAGAUC